rnacentral:rRNA from 1 species
CCUACGGGAGGCCGCAGUGAGGAAUAUUGGUCAAUGGACGAGAGUCUGAACCAGCCAAGUAGCGUGAAGGAUGACUGCCCUAUGGGUUGUAAACUUCUUUUAUAUGGGAAUAAAAUGUUCCACGUGUGGGAUUUUGUAUGUACCAUAUGAAUAAGGCUCGGCUAACUCCGUGCCAGCAGCCGCGGUAAUACGGAGGAUCCGAGCGUUAUCCGGAUUUAUUGGGUUUAAAGGGAGCGUAGGUGGAUUGUUAAGUCAGUUGUGAAAGUUUGCGGCUCAACCGUAAAAUUGCAGUUGAAACUGGCAGUCGUGAGUACAGUAGAGGUGGGCGGAAUUCGUGGUGUAGCGGUGAAAUGCUUAGAUAUCACGAAGAACUCCGAUUGCGAAGGCAGCUCACUGGACUGCAACUGACACUGAGGCUCGAAAGUGUGGGUAUCAAACAGGAUUAGAUACCCUUGUAGUC